CACUGCCUAGAAAGCCGAGAGAUCGAAAAUCUCUUGGCCCCGCACGUUCUGCGGCAAGUCGUCGAAGAAUAUGAAGGGGCGGUUUUAGACGACUUUGCAUACGCGCACGAGCAGUACAAGGACUUAUAUCUUGGCAAAUUCAUUGAGAACAGAAUACUUAAGGGAAGUCGGCGACGGUCCGGAAGUUAUAUGGAACCGAGCGGCACGGUAACACAGAAGGUCAAGUUCUGCGAGCGUGCGCUAUCGC
rnacentral:misc_RNA from 1 species